rnacentral:miRNA from 1 species
GGGCGCCGGGGUGGGCGG